rnacentral:rRNA from 1 species
AUUGAACGCUGGCGGCAGGCCUAACACAUGCAAGUCGAGCGAGCGUCGGACGGGUGAGUAAUGUAUUAGGACUGCCCGAUAGCGGGGGAUAACUACUGGCAACGGUAACUAGUACCGCAUACUAUCGGAUAACCCAUAUGGGAGUAGCUAGUAGGUGAGGUAAUGGCUCACCUGGGCGACGAUCCCUAGAGGGUCUGAGAGGAUGAUCGGCAAAACUGUGACUGAGACACGGCCCAGAGUCCUACGGAGGAAGCAGGGGGGAAUAGUGGAAAAUGGGCGAAAGCCUGAUGCAGCGAUGCCGCGUGUAUGAAGAAGGCCCUAGGGUUGUAAAGUACUUUCAGUCGGGAGGCGGUACCGAGAGAAGAAGCACCGGCUAACUACGUGCCAGCAGCCGCGGUAAUAC